CAAAUUAUGACAAGUUUUAAAAUUCGGAUUCCUGGGAUAUUUACAUACGAUAGACUCAUCAAUCCAAAAAACACAAUAGAUCGUCAAAGACUUUUUAAAUAGCUAUAUUGUAUAAAAAAUAAUUUUUGUCUCAAUCAUCCCUUUAAUUUACUUGCAAAUACAUUUAGUAUACUAUACAUUUAGUAGAUGAAUCGUCAAUUGGAAAAUAUUGUUCAAAAAUCAAACUCCGUGCUCGAUAUCAUAGCCUUAGCAAAGACAGUUACCACAAUGUAACUGCUUAAGGGUUGUUGCUCGUUUCCUCAGUGCUCAGCGAUCGGCCCCUCGAAAAGGUGGCCGAGGAUGCAGGUCCGAUCUAAGGGCCUGAUCGUGGGAGGAUGCGUCCGCCCGGGGUCUCAGACGUUCGGCUCCAUCGCUCGUCCUCAAGUGCGAACGAUUCUUCGACCGGGCAACUGGAGCGGGUCUCGAGCUCGGGCACGACGCCUUGGACUCCGGAAGAGGAGACGCUGGCACCGGCCUCGCGGCUCCGCAAUCCCUCGGGUAUAUUCGGUUAUCGGCGCAACUCGAGCAGGAUCAGCUUCAGGGCCGAGUCCGGGCCCCUACUGAACAGAUACAGGCAAACGAGGUUUAGCUCGAGGAGAGUAAGAAAGCGAGUUGUUUUCAAACACGGCGACUGCAAUGUCGUGCAAGGCAACGUCGCUAAGCGUCGGCGCCGUUAUCUACAGGAUAUCUUCACAACUCUGGUCGACGCCCAAUGGCGUUGGACGCUCUUAGUGUUUGCCAUGACAUUCCUAUUAUCUUGGCUGGGCUUUGCCCUCGUUUGGUGGCUGGUCGUUUACGCACACGGAGACCUCGAUCCAAAGAUCACAGACCCCAGCUCCAAUAUAUCUUUUACUCCUUGUGUCGAAGAUAUUCACGGGUUCACCAGCUGCUUCCUCUUUUCAGUCGAGACGCAGCACACCAUAGGAUACGGCUCAAAGCAUACAACGGAGGAGUGUCCAGAGGCGAUAUUCAUAAUGUGCAUCCAGUCGAUGACUGGAGUAAUUCUACAAGCAUUUAUGGUGGGCAUCGUAUUCGCCAAGCUCUCGCGUCCAAAGAAGCGCACGCAGACCCUCCUUUUCUCGAGGAACGCCGUCAUUUGCCAGAGGGAUGGCCAGCCCUGCCUCAUGUUCCGUGUCGGCGAUAUGCGCAAGAGCCACAUAAUCGAGGCCCACGUCAGGGCACAAAUGAUCAAGAGAAAAGUAACUAGAGAAGGUGAGCUUCUGCCUUUCUUCCAAACGGAACUGAAAGUCGGUGGUGAUGGGGAAGAGGAUAAAAUUUUCUUCAUCUGGCCGACGACGAUCGUUCACAAAAUCAACCAACAGUCGCCUCUCUAUCAUCUUUCUGCGAGCGACAUGUUACGAGAGCGCUUCGAAAUUAUUGUUCUCCUCGAAGGUGUGAUAGAAUCGACGGGUAUGACGACGCAAGCCAGAAGUUCAUAUUUACCUUCGGAAAUUCUCUGGGGCCACCGAUUCGAGCACAUAAUCACGUUUCGCAAAGAGAUCGGAGAAUAUGAAGUUAAUUACACACUUUUUAAUAAUACAUACGAGGUGGAUACGCCUUUAUGUUCGGCCGCAGAGCUCGAUCACGUUAAAGCAUUGCACCGCGCCAAAGGAGAGCGAACAAGCUCGGGCACGUUUGCCCAGUACAGGAUGGAUUCUAGCAGUUCCUUGACUUCGGGCUCUUGCUCGAGUUUCGCUUCGUCAGCCGGUGGUUUACAAAUGCAUACUCACGCUGCAACGCCACCGACUCCCAUCCCAGUCAUGAUUACCGCUCCGGAUGACUCACCCAGAAGGGGAAGCACCAGUCAACCUGAAUCUCGACGUAAAUUCGCUACUUUUUACACUCUCGACGAGACUUUGGAGACAGGGCAGGAAUUGAUUCCGCCAGAAUGUCCAAUCGAAGCAAUGCAGGAAGUACCAAAUACUAAAGAGAAGGAGGAGGAAGAGGAACAGAACGAGACACUGCAGAACAAUGCGAUGACAAAUCAUCCUGAUGAAAAUGCAGUCGUAUAUGAUAAGACAUUUGAAGGCAUUAAUGCCAAUUUACGAUUCAGUCGGCGCUCUAGUUUACAGGGAAAACCGGCUAGGAGGAUAUCGCGCGAAGGCACGCGAGUUAGCAUCGAGGACAUAAUUCCCCGUAAUACCAAUACGAGCAAUGCCCAAAGCUUCAUCGGCUUAAUGAAAAAGUCACCAUCACAUACGGCUCUUGAAUUAAGGCAAACGGGCCAGAUGGCUUGCUUUGGCCCAUCGACGAGGCGGUCAAGUUUAAAUGAAAACCGUAAAAGCAAGAAUGAGUUGCCAAAGAAAGCGAGCUUCCAAUUGACAGGGUCUAAAGAGUUGCAAGAGCCCCACAAAACCAAUUGUGAUCGGCCCAAAGAGCAAGUUUAGUGCGCUUUCCCCACCGUUACCCUCGAUACUGCAGGACCGAAAGGGCCCCUAAAGUGAGAGGCGCUCAGGUGCGUUCCCCCGUUUUCGCAAGCGCCCCACUGCCUCGAAGUUCUCCAGCAUGGCGAGCCAUAAUAUACGCGCCGGCAAUAGUCGUUCGCGACGCGUCGAGGUGACGACUGUCCUUUAGAGUUGUGAUCGCGAUCAAGACGAGGAACUCUGGCGACUGCGUCAUUGACAACAAGACAGGUAGGGAGGAGCAGGGUGGUUGCAGUGACCGGAAGUAACAUGUCGAACUGAUAAGCAGACGACAAUGGCCGAG